rnacentral:rRNA from 1 species
UAGGUGAACCUGCGGAAGGAUCAUUACAGAGUUCAUGCCCUUUAGGGUAGACCUCCCACCCUUGAGUACUAUACUUUUGUUGCUUUGGCAGGCCCGUCGGGUUCACGCCUGGCUACCGGCUCCGGCUGGUAAGUGUCUGCCAGAGGACCUAAACUCUGAAUUUUACGUCGUCUGAGUACUAUAUAAUAGUUAAAACUUUCAACAACGGAUCUCUUGGUUCUGGCAUCGAUGAAGAACGCAGCGAAAUGCGAUAAGUAAUGUGAAUUGCAGAAUUCAGUGAAUCAUCGAAUCUUUGAACGCACAUUGCGCCCUUUGGUAUUCCGAGGGGCAUGCCCGUUCGAGCGUCAUCAACACCAUCAAGCCUGGCUUGGUAUUGGGCCCCGCCUGUAACACGGCCGGCUUUAAAAUUAGUGGCGGUGCCGCCUGGCUCUAAGCGUAGUAACUUUUCUCGCUAUUGUGCCCGGCGGUUGCUUGCCAACAACCCCUAAUUUAAUAGGUUUGACCUCGGAUCGGGUA